rnacentral:rRNA from 2 species
GCUUGCAUCUUGAUUUAAUUUUGAACGAGUGGCGGACGGGUGAGUAACACGUGGGUAACCUGCCCUUAAGUGGGGGAUAACAUUUGGAAACAGAUGCUAAUACCGCAUAAAUCCAAGAACCGCAUGGUUCUUGGCUGAAAGAUGGCGUAAGCUAUCGCUUUUGGAUGGACCCGCGGCGUAUUAGCUAGUUGGUGAGGUAACGGCUCACCAAGGCAAUGAUACGUAGCCGAACUGAGAGGUUGAUCGGCCACAUUGGGACUGAGACACGGCCCAAACUCCUACGGGAGGCAGCAGUAGGGAAUCUUCCACAAUGGACGCAAGUCUGAUGGAGCAACGCCGCGUGAGUGAAGAAGGCUUUCGGGUCGUAAAACUCUGUUGUUGGAGAAGAAUGGUCGGCAGAGUAACUGUUGUCGGCGUGACGGUAUCCAACCAGAAAGCCACGGCUAACUACGUGCCAGCAGCCGCGGUAAUACGUAGGUGGCAAGCGUUAUCCGGAUUUAUUGGGCGUAAAGCGAGCGCAGGCGGUUUUUUAAGUCUGAUGUGAAAGCCCUCGGCUUAACCGAGGAAGUGCAUCGGAAACUGGGAAACUUGAGUGCAGAAGAGGACAGUGGAACUCCAUGUGUAGCGGUGAAAUGCGUAGAUAUAUGGAAGAACACCAGUGGCGAAGGCGGCUGUCUGGUCUGUAACUGACGCUGAGGCUCGAAAGCAUGGGUAGCGAACAGGAUUAGAUACCCUGGUAGUCCAUGCCGUAAACGAUGAAUGCUAGGUGUUGGAGGGUUUCCGCCCUUCAGUGCCGCAGCUAACGCAUUAAGCAUUCCGCCUGGGGAGUACGACCGCAAGGUUGAAACUCAAAGGAAUUGACGGGGGCCCGCACAAGCGGUGGAGCAUGUGGUUUAAUUCGAAGCAACGCGAAGAACCUUACCAGGUCUUGACAUCUUUUGAUCACCUGAGAGAUCAGGUUUCCCCUUCGGGGGCAAAAUGACAGGUGGUGCAUGGUUGUCGUCAGCUCGUGUCGUGAGAUGUUGGGUUAAGUCCCGCAACGAGCGCAACCCUUAUGACUAGUUGCCAGCAUUUAGUUGGGCACUCUAGUAAGACUGCCGGUGACAAACCGGAGGAAGGUGGGGAUGACGUCAAAUCAUCAUGCCCCUUAUGACCUGGGCUACACACGUGCUACAAUGGAUGGUACAACGAGUUGCGAGACCGCGAGGUCAAGCUAAUCUCUUAAAGCCAUUCUCAGUUCGGACUGUAGGCUGCAACUCGCCUACACGAAGUCGGAAUCGCUAGUAAUCGCGGAUCAGCACGCCGCGGUGAAUACGUUCCCGGGCCUUGUACACACCGCCCGUCACACCAUGAGAGUUUGUAACACCCGAAGCCGGUGGCGUAACCCUUUUAGGGAGCGAG